UGUGCUUCGGUGGCAGUAUACUGAAACUGAAAGGAUACAGAGAAGAUUAGCAUGGCCCCUGCCCUGCGCAAGGAUGACAAGCAAAUUCGUGAAGCGAUCCGUAUUUUA
rfam:Erinaceus europaeus unplaced genomic scaffold scaffold00304, whole genome shotgun sequence